AUUGAACGCUGGCGGCAGGCCUAACACAUGCAAGUCGAGCGGAGCGGCGGACGGGUGAGUAAUGCCUAGGAAUCUGCCUGGUAGUGGGGGAUAACGUCAGGAAACGGGCGCUAAUCCCGCAUACUAACAGAUGAGCCUAGGUAGGAUUAGUUAGUUGGUGGGGUAAAGGCCUACCAAGGCGACGAACCGUAACUGGUCUGAGAGGAUGAUCAGUCACACUGGGACUGAUACACGUACCAGACUCCUACGGGAGGCAGCAGUGGGGAAUAUUGGACAAUGGGCGAAAGCCUGAUCCAGCCAUGCCGCGGGUGGGAAGAAGGUCUUCGGAUUGGAAAGCACUUUAAGUUGGGAGGCGUUACCAACAGAAUAAGCACCGGCUAACUUCGUGCCAGCAGCCGCGGUAAUAC
rnacentral:rRNA from 1 species